AAAUAAGUGGAAAAAACGUUUCAGAUUUCUGCCCCACGGGUGAACGCGCUCGACAAAAAAACACCCCUGAGUCGAGAGACGGUGUGUCCCACCCCCAUCUGAAUCUGUCGCCUCCCCACCAUCGGCCCGCACCCUCUGUUGCGGCGUCCUCCCCGCACUGCGGCCUGCCUCCUCUCCACCGCGCCCUCCCCCCCGCGCCGUCCGAGUCAUCCGCGCGCAGUUCACCGAUGCCGAGGCCCAGGCCGCCGCGCUCCGGGCCCGCGCCGACCGGCCCGAGUACGUGUUGCCGGCCGCGACGGGCUACUGGACACGCUCCUCGCCGCCACGAGCAACGAGCAUUGGGACGAGAAGAGGGAGGUGGAGGCAGUGGAGGAGCCGGUUGGAGGAGGUGGAUCGGAAGGUGGAGGCGGCGGAGGAGGGGAAGGGGAUGACGGGGACAGAUCGGACUACACGCCGGAGGACGAGGGCACCGCACGGCCUACCGUCGCGUCUUAGCUACAAGGUCGUCUCUGCCGUCGCGCAGCACCGACCGCCUUGCCCCGAUUAGCUCUUGGAUACACGGACGACCGGAUGUGCUCCAGCGCCGCCGCCUAUGGGCGACUCCCCAACGACGGGUCGUCCCUUCCUCAUGGUCUUGGACCUAUCUCUUGUUAGAUCUAAUUGUAUCCCUGUUUGUGGUGAUUGGGUUGGGGUAGACGAGUCAACAAUGAAGCUCGGUGACGUGAUAUGGCGCCCAGUGUAGGUGGCCAUGGUGGACCUGAAGCUGGCUGAGAUAAGCGAUGGGGUAUGUAUCAAAUUAUGGAGCUUGGGGAUCUGUCUUGCCUGUUGUAUGAACCAAAACAGCAGCCUCACUCUCUUCUUGGUAUUCAAUUACAUUGAGCUGCUUCUCGAAUGUCCCAUCGCAUACCGGCUGCAGCACCCGGAGCUCAUUAUCUGAUACAUGAUCAAGAUCCAUCGCCACUGACAGUCGCGCAAUUGGCUGCAAGGCUUGCCCGGAUGACUCUGAAUCGAAACCAAUCCUAGACUGGGAGUUGUAUGCAUCGUCCAUUUGCGUAGAUCCAGCCAAAGCACUUAUCACAGUCCGCCAAAUAGGCAAUCUAUGUAACGCAAGGCAAAUCUAGCUUAGAAAUCUACACAGAACCUGCACUAUGAUUGGCUAAAUCAACUCCCUUAGGUUCAUGUUCCGUAUACUUUGUUUUUCUAACCCAUUCCCUGUAUAGGCACUCUUGUUGGCAGCACAGGUUCAGGCCAUAUUCAAUUAUCAACUAA